rnacentral:rRNA from 8 species
AAAUUGAAGAGUUUGAUCAUGGCUCAGAUUGAACGCUGGCGGCAGGCCUAACACAUGCAAGUCGAACGGUAACAGGAAGCAGCUUGCUGCUUCGCUGACGAGUGGCGGACGGGUGAGUAAUGUCUGGGAAACUGCCUGAUGGAGGGGGAUAACUACUGGAAACGGUGGCUAAUACCGCAUAACGUCGCAAGACCAAAGAGGGGGACCUUCGGGCCUCUUGCCAUCAGAUGUGCCCAGAUGGGAUUAGCUAGUUGGUGAGGUAACGGCUCACCAAGGCGACGAUCCCUAGCUGGUCUGAGAGGAUGACCAGCCACACUGGAACUGAGACACGGUCCAGACUCCUACGGGAGGCAGCAGUGGGGAAUAUUGCACAAUGGGCGCAAGCCUGAUGCAGCCAUGCCGCGUGUAUGAAGAAGGCCUUCGGGUUGUAAAGUACUUUCAGCGGGGAGGAAGGUGUUGUGGUUAAUAACCGCAGCAAUUGACGUUACCCGCAGAAGAAGCACCGGCUAACUCCGUGCCAGCAGCCGCGGUAAUACGGAGGGUGCAAGCGUUAAUCGGAAUUACUGGGCGUAAAGCGCACGCAGGCGGUCUGUCAAGUCGGAUGUGAAAUCCCCGGGCUCAACCUGGGAACUGCAUUCGAAACUGGCAGGCUUGAGUCUUGUAGAGGGGGGUAGAAUUCCAGGUGUAGCGGUGAAAUGCGUAGAGAUCUGGAGGAAUACCGGUGGCGAAGGCGGCCCCCUGGACAAAGACUGACGCUCAGGUGCGAAAGCGUGGGGAGCAAACAGGAUUAGAUACCCUGGUAGUCCACGCCGUAAACGAUGUCUACUUGGAGGUUGUGCCCUUGAGGCGUGGCUUCCGGAGCUAACGCGUUAAGUAGACCGCCUGGGGAGUACGGCCGCAAGGUUAAAACUCAAAUGAAUUGACGGGGGCCCGCACAAGCGGUGGAGCAUGUGGUUUAAUUCGAUGCAACGCGAAGAACCUUACCUGGUCUUGACAUCCACGGAAGUUUUCAGAGAUGAGAAUGUGCCUUCGGGAACCGUGAGACAGGUGCUGCAUGGCUGUCGUCAGCUCGUGUUGUGAAAUGUUGGGUUAAGUCCCGCAACGAGCGCAACCCUUAUCCUUUGUUGCCAGCGGUCCGGCCGGGAACUCAAAGGAGACUGCCAGUGAUAAACUGGAGGAAGGUGGGGAUGACGUCAAGUCAUCAUGGCCCUUACGACCAGGGCUACACACGUGCUACAAUGGCGCAUACAAAGAGAAGCGACCUCGCGAGAGCAAGCGGACCUCAUAAAGUGCGUCGUAGUCCGGAUUGGAGUCUGCAACUCGACUCCAUGAAGUCGGAAUCGCUAGUAAUCGUGGAUCAGAAUGCCACGGUGAAUACGUUCCCGGGCCUUGUACACACCGCCCGUCACACCAUGGGAGUGGGUUGCAAAAGAAGUAGGUAGCUUAACCUUCGGGAGGGCGCUUACCACUUUGUGAUUCAUGACUGGGGUGAAGUCGUAACAAGGUAACCGUAGGGGAACCUGCGGUUGGAUCACCUCCUUA